rnacentral:rRNA from 1 species
UACGGAAGGCAGCAGUGGGGAAUCUUGCGCAAUGGGCGAAAGCCUGACGCAGCCAUGCCGCGUGAAUGAUGAAGGUCUUAGGAUUGUAAAAAUUCUUUCACCGGGGACGAUAAUGACGGUACCCGGAGAAGAAGCCCCGGCUAACUUCGUGCCAGCAGCCGCGGUAAUACGAAGGGGGCUAGCGUUGCUCGGAAUUACUGGGCGUAAAGGGCGCGUAGGCGGAUCGUUAAGUCAGAGGUGAAAUCCCAGGGCUCAACCCUGGAACUGCCUUUUGAUACUGGCGAUCUUGAGUAUGAGAGAGGUAUGUGGAACUCCGAGUGUAGAGGUGAAAUUCGUAGAUAUUCGGAAGAACACCAGUGGCGAAGGCGACAUACUGGCUCAUUACUGACGCUGAGGGCGCGAAAGCGUGGGGAGCAAACAGGGAUUAGAUACCCGU